CCUCAACAGGACGGGGAGAAACGAUGGAAAAGCUUAUGGGCUGAGAUAAAGACAGGGAGAUCAUUUAGCAAGUAGCACCACAGGCAAAAAAGACUUGACUUGUGGAAAAUUAUCUUCUUUUAUUGCUGAUUAAAAACAGAGUAAGAUGACUUCUCCCCUGUUCCAGUAUGAGAUUUCAACAGGCUGCAGCUUCCUUCAGGUCAUAUCCACCUGCUCAGCGUGGGGUACUCCAUGGGCUACUCAUCUACUCUGAGACAGUCCUCCAUGGGCUGUAGCAAGACUAGACAGGUAACAGUGAACAACAAGAUGGGAGUCAUCCAACACUGUAUUGAACCAGCGCCGUGUGGGAAGCAAAGCCUGUGGUAAACAACCUCACGUUAAUACAAGUAACUCUUCAAAAGGAUCAUGUGAGAAUCAAAAUAAAGUGGAAACUGAGGAAAUCAUCUGAUUUUCUGUAGCUCAGCCAGCUCCUUUUGCAAACACAUACUUAAGGAUUAAAAUUUAUACCCUAAAAAAAUGCACAAAUAAAAUAAUGCAAAUUUGUAUGCCAGAAAGAUAAUGUUUUCCUUUAUGUCAAUAGAAUACGAGUGCAGUGCAUUAGCAGUACAAAUGGGAGACACCAUGCUUAGGAACAGUUUUUUACUUUUUCAUAUAGCAGUGGCCACGUAAUUCUGUUUCCCUUCCUUCACUU